UUUUCAUUGGAACGAUACAGAGAAGAUUAGCAUGGCCCCUGUGCAAGGAUGACAUGCAAAUUCAUGAAGUGUUCCAUAGUAAA
rnacentral:snRNA from 1 species